AACUCUGUCGAUGAGUUUUAAAGAUAAAGUUUCUUCUGACUUUGGCAUGGCUGAAGAUAAUAUGGUGAUCGGAGAU
rnacentral:sRNA from 1 species